rnacentral:rRNA from 1 species
GCGAUCAUACCAGUACUAAUACACUAGAUCCCAUCAAACUUCGAAGUUAAGUGUGCUUGGAUGAGAGCAGUACUACGAUGGGUGGCCCUAUAACGACCACCCUUCUUACUACUACU